UACGGAGGAUGCAAGCGUUAUCCGGAUUUAUUGGGUUUAAAGGGUGCGUAGGCUGUUUUCCAAGUCAGCGGUGAAAUGCCGGGGCUUAACCCCGGAACUGCCAUUGAUACUGGGAGGCUUGAAUGCGGAUGCCGUGGGAGGAAUGAGUAGUGUAGCGGUGAAAUGCAUAGAUAUUACUCAGAACACCGAUUGCGAAGGCAUCUCACGAAUCCGCUAUUGACGCUGAGGCACGAAAGCGUGGGGAU
rnacentral:rRNA from 1 species